UAGUCUAGGGUUUAUAUAGCUCUUAAGCCAGUGACUCGGGUCCUUCCCGAUCCCGGUUCUUUCUUUUUCACGAGAGUGGAGAGAAAUUUGGUAGCAGUGUAUUCAUGGCGACGAACACCGGCAUGGACGAAGACGAGGAAUUCGUAACUCUAAGGUGUAUGGAAGACGACGUUGAAGAUGACGCGGAAGAUGUGAUUUCCAUUUCAACCGCUGAGAUUUACAAAUGGGACUUGACUUCCAUUCUCACUCACAGAAUCGUCCAAAUCAAAGCCAAUCGAAACAGGAUCAUUCAAAUGUCUUCCUAUUUUAGCGGUCUCUUAUCUGGAAGCUUUAGUGAAUCUUGCCUGGAUUUGGUAUCAAUUCAUUGGAACGCACAAUCAUUUUUGAGUGUUUUGAGGUUCAUGUUUGGAUAUUAUGUGGAGAUCACCUCUGAUAAUUUUAUUCUUCUCUAUGAGGCUGCUCUAUUUUUUGGAGUGGAAUCGCUGCUCUUGCAAUGUCAGCUUUGGUUGAGGGAAGUAACAUCUUCCAAGGACCCAUUGACUCCAAAACUACAAGUAGAUGCUUUGAUCCGUGUUUGGAAGUAUGGUGUAGAGCAUGCAAAUGAUUUGAUUCUACAUCUUUGCACGAGUUAUCUAGCAAGGAACCUCAAGUGGGCAAUGUUGUGUGACUCUUUUUUGGAUGUUCCUUACCAGUUACUGAAUACAUGCAUUCAACAUCCCGAAUUGACCAUAGAUAGCGAGAAAUUUCUGUGUGAUGCCAUUCUUCUCUGGCUUGCUGCUAACAUCCGAAAAAACGCUAUUGAAGAUGGUUGCACUGGCAUGUUGCGACAGAUACGGUGUAAUUGUUUGCCUCUGUGGUUUCUUGCUGGUAAAAGAAGGUGCUGCUUCUUUGCAGAGUUUGCUGAUGAAAACAUUGAUGCUAUCCUUCAGCUAGCUGGACAUCCUUCUAUCGAUGUGGGAAACAUAUGUGCAGAUUGUGAUUUGAGUUGUAUGCAAAUUCGAUUAACAGAAUUUACUAAGAAGGUGGAUCUUUCAGGUUGCCCGCAAAUUAGGCCUAUUCUGCUCUUGUCAUUACUUCCUCCUCUAUACAGCAGGGAUAUAAUGGAAAGAAAAAAAUUUAAGCGACCUUUGCUCAACCUUCAAUAUCUCAAUGUGGAUCACUUGCCAACUUUGACUUUUGAAGCUGUAGAAGAGGUGGAUAUUUCAAAUUGUCCAAUGCUGGAUCUUGAGGAUGCUCUCAAGUGCUUCUCCAAGUCCUUUCCAUCCUUGAGGAAGCUAAGGGCGGUAAAUUAUGUAGACUUUGGAACUGAGAAGUUGAUUCGCUUGUUGGCAAGAUUUCCCCUUCUGUGCAACAUUGACCUAACAGUGGAUGUUAGCCCUCUUAUACCUGCAAAAGUAUCCGUUGUAUCUUCACAACCUGCUCUAUCUCCCCUAGGAUCAAGAGAGUUCCCAAAUGAUGAUCACUGCCCUUGGGAUGCCUCGUUGAGUAACAUGUCCAGACGACAACUUUCAAAUAUCACAAGGCUCACAUUGCAGGGCAGAAGUGAUAUUGCUGAUUCUGACCUGCGUAAGAUCACCAAAUCAUGUGCAUCCCUCUGUUACCUUAACCUUAAUGGUUGUAUGUCAGUAACAGAUUCUGGCAUAUCUUUUGUAAUACUAAACUGCAUUUUGCUUCGCUCAAUCUUGGCUUGUGAUACUUAUUUUGGGCAAGAAUCAAUCUCGGCGCUUUGUUCUGGUGUUCACAACCUUGAGGACCAUGUAGAGCCACAAGCUAAAAAACCCUUGCACUCGUUUGCUUCUAAGUUCCAUACUCUACAUAUAGGUGGCUGCAUGGGGGUCAGUGAAGCAUCUCUUUCAGAACUUCUAUCUCAAACUCUUAUGAUAAAGAGUGUAUCUUUAAGGGAAACCCACCUUGUGGAUGAUGCUCUCAAUCGCUUUCCAGGAUGUUCCUUGGAGAUGCUAGAUAUUUCUGAAACCAAGGUUUCUAGCCUUGCUCUGGCUCACUUAAUCCAUCGAAAUCCUGGUCUGAAAUGCCUGAAAGCAAGAGGCUGUAAGCAUUUGUCACUGAAUUUUAUGGAUGCUGAAGGCAGAGAGCCUUCUAACUUGGCAUAUAGUUCGACAGAGUUGCAUUCUGAACUUGGCAAGUCGUGCCAGUUGGAGGAAAUUGCAGUUGGAUGGGGAUUUUCAUUCUUUUCUUUGGAGAGCUUGAAACCUGCAAUUAGAUCACUACGGACAUUGGUAGUUGGUUUAGGUGGGUCCUUGGGGCAUGAUGGGCUCAGACUCUUACCUGCUUUCUCUCCUUUGUUAGAAACGCUGAUGAUUUAUUUCCAGGUGAUAUCUGACUCUCUUGUCAUCAACAUUAUGAAAACCCUUAGAAAACUGCAAGUACUGGCUCUCUGCUAUUGCUUUGGUCAGAUUUCCUCACUAAGCUUUCAGAUCAGCAUGCCAAAUUUGAGGAAUUUGAAACUUGAAAGGGUUGCAGCUUGGAUGACGAAUACUGACUUAAUUAUUCUGACUCAAAAUUGUCCAAAUUUGGUUGAUCUUUCAUUGCUUGGAUGCAGACUUCUUAAUCCAGAAUCCCAAGAUAUCAUUUCAUGUGGCUGGCCAGGUUUGAUCUCUCUGCAUCUUGAGUAUUACUACGGAGGAGGAACACUCCCUCGUGUUGCAAAAACAGUGCUUGCUAACAGAAUCAGGACUGUGGGGAAGUAACAGCCCAUGGUGUUUCAUCUCUUAUGAACUGUCGAGCCCUUGAAGAUCUCUUGCUACGUCAUACUGGUUCUAGAAAGUUUGUAGCCUGAUUCCCCUUUGGACCUCUAAAGCUAACAAAUGAAAAUAAGGUGAAAUAUUGCCAGACUCCCCUUUGUACCUCAGGUCGUGUAAGCAAAUAUUGCUUUUUUUAAAAUUUAAAAAUUUUGUUAAUGUUUAAUGGACUUCCAAAAAUGUGGAAGUUGAGCUCUUGAGACUACAGUCAACUUCUUGGAAAUCGACUUUUAAGUUGACUUCUUGGAGAUUGGCUUUAAAGUUGACCUUAGUUGACCUCGUCUCUUGACUUUACAAAAAACUAAAUAUACUUCAUCGCUGGGUUUAUCUACAAAGAGUAAUUCUCCUUCCACAACCACAAACUGGUUUAAAAAUGUGAGGCAAAACUCACACUGUGGUGAAGUGGUCACUGCCUUGGAAGCUUGCAGAGCUGCCAAAGUUACUACAUAUGCCCAUCUCCAAAAUCUUCAAAAUUUGUGGAAACUACAGAGAAGGCAGUAUGGGUGCCAAUCUAGUUAUGCCUAUCCAAUUCAGUUGGAGCAGGCAGCUAAGAAUCAGAUGCCGCAAGACCAUGAUCAAGGAUUGGAACAAGGUCGUCAAGGCUAAGACUGAGACAGCUAUCAGGACAUCAACUAUGCUGGAGAUUAUCAGAAGUCCCAAAAUUAUGACUGGGGUCUUGUCUUGCAAGUUUUCUUCAAGAUAUUGUAGGAUAAUUAUUUGUCAAAAUGAAAAUGGACUCACCAAGUUUAAUUACACCAGGGGAAUUAAGCCUCAAACUUAAGCGGGUGCAUUUUCAAUUUGAGGAGAAACCACAGACAUAAAAGGUUGAAGAGGCACUAUAAACAACCAAAAUUUUCUCACCAAGACAUAAAGUUGAUCAAAAAGACUGUAUGAUCUAGGAAAACAAUAACAUGGAUGCAAUUGAUAUUAGAAAAAAGAAGAGAGAGAGAGAGAGGUCGAUUCAGAAGAGAAUCCUGGUGGUCAGAAUAUAUAUAUAUAUAUAUAUAUAUUUAUUUAAGUUGAUCUCUACUUGAAUAGGUGCUAUUUGUUCUUAUGGUGUUGCCACAGUUUGAUUGAGAAAGGGCAAAUAUGUGAACUAAAACCUGACGAGGAAAGAAGCAAGAGCAGGAUAAUGGAACAGAGAGGGAGAAGAAAUAAUAAUAUGCUUUGGCUCUCAAAUAACUGAAGUUGGCUUCAUAGAAUUCAACUUAAAUGUGUUUGGGAACCUAAUACAAACAAAAUUAUGUUUUAAAUAUUCGACGAGGAAUGUAAUAAUUGGGUAAAUAUCCCUGGUUCCCUUUGUCCCUGCGAUAUUUGGCAUAUAUGGAACAGUUUCGGGACAAUUUUGAAGUUAAUAAAAUUUUUCAAAAGCUUCAGAAUUCUCUAGAUCACCUGUAGUGUGAGAUAAUUUAUCUCUUACCUCUUUUUGUAACAAUUCAGUGGGCCUGAUCUGAA